GACGAACGCUGGCGGCGUGCCUAAUACAUGCAAGUUGAGCGAUGAAGAUUGGUGCUUGCUCCAAUUUGAAGAGCAGCGAACGGGUGAGUAACGCGUGGGGAAUCUGCCUUUGAGCGGGGGACAACAUUUGGAAACGAAUGCUAAUACCGCAUAAUAACUUUAAACAUAAGUUUUAAGUUUGAAAGAUGCAAUUGCAUCACUCAAAGAUGAUCCCGCGUUGUAUUAGCUAGUUGGUGAGGUAAAGGCUCACCAAGGCGAAGAUACAUAGCCGACCUGAGAGGGUGAUCGGCCAAAUUGGGACUGAGACACGGCCCAAACUCCUACGGGAGGCAGCAGGAGGGAAUCUUCGGCAAUGGACGAAAGUCUGACCGGGCAAAGCCGCGGGAGUGAAGAAGGGUUUCGGAUCGUAGAACUCCGUUGGUAGGGAAGAACGAUGGUGGGAGUGGAAAGCGCAUCAAGUGACGGUAACUACCCAGAAAGGGACGGCUAACUACGUG
rnacentral:rRNA from 1 species